ACCGACGACGGCGACUACAACAUCAAGAUGCGCAACAUCCGGCGCUUUCUUGAGGAUGGCGACAAGUGCAAGAUCACGCUCCGUUUCCGCGGCCGCGAGAUCACGCACCAGGAGCUUGGCCUGGCGCUGUUGCAGCGCAUCCGUGACGAACUCGGCGACUCGAUCAUCGUGGAGCAGUUCCCGAAGCUCGAGGGUCGGCAGAUGAUCAUGAUGAUCGCGCCGGGCCGCAGGAAGGCCGGCGGUACGGCAAAGCCGGCCGCAGAGCCGUCGGCCGCGCCGGCAGCGGCCUAGGUUCAGGCGCAGAGGUUAUUGAAGGGAUUU
rnacentral:misc_RNA from 1 species